AUUGAACGCUGGCGGCAGGCUUAACACAUGCAAGUCGAGCGAGCGGCGGACGGGUGAGUAAUGUCUGGGAAACUGCCUGAUGGAGGGGGAUAACUACUGGAAACGGUAGCUAAUACCGCAUACCAUCAGAUGUGCCCAGAUGGGAUUAGCUAGUAGGUGGGGUAAUGGCUCACCUAGGCGACGAUCCCUAGCUGGUCUGAGAGGAUGACCAGCGACACUGGAACUGAGACACGGUUCAGACUCCUAGGGGAGGCAGCAGUGGUGAAUAUUGCACAAUGGGGGAAAGCCUGAGGCAGACAUGCAGAGUGUGUGAAGAAUGCCUUCUGGGCGUAAAGAAAUUUCGGCAAGGAUGCAAUAGUCGAAGAAAAAGCACCCGCUAAGUCCGUGCCAGCAGCCGCGGUAAUAC
rnacentral:rRNA from 1 species